GAGGCGGAUCGGCAGGUGUUGGGAUGCGCCUGUGGAUGAAAAUUUCAUCCGUGGAGAUAGUGUCCAUGGAACCUUCAGAGAGAGUUGUAAUUUUAGAGUUGCUGAAGGAGGCCCUAUCAUCGACCAGUCGAAUGGCUGUCGAGCAUUAUGUUGGAAAUUCUUCAAAGAUUGUAUGGACGGAAGAAGGCGCAGAACAGGGCCCCUUCUCUUAUCCAGAUUUUCGAGGGAAGCAUCCUUCCAUGACAAUGGCUAAAUCAUGUGUUUCUUUCGUCCAUUGAAAGGCAUGGCAGGUUACAUCAUGUUCGCCGGCAUCGAUGCUGACGGGUAGCUCCGCAAGUGGCCAAGUUGCUUCUAUGUAUUGCUGAUAUCAGUAGUGGCCUCGAUGCUUCGAGGAUAGCCAUCUGUGGGGGUAGCAGCCGGAUGUAUGCAAGACAUAAGGUGCCAAUGGAUUCAUUUAGGCGAAGUUGAAUUAUGCUAGAAAGUGGCCAGCAGAAUCUGUGUACUCAGAUUCGACAUCUUAGGACAAUUAUAUGCCCUUCACUUCCCUGGGAUGUAGUUUGAAGUGGCGAGGAACUUGUGAUUAAAUAGACGUCGUAUGCAAUAUGAGGGUGGUGAUGAUGUCACUCUCUACACAGACUGGCAGAAGAUGAAGCGGCUGCCGAUUACCUGAAAUUGUUUUAUUGUGUAGCUUGCUACUAAAUCUAAGACAUCUCUAUUGCUCGGUUCAUUGUAAUUUAGUACUAUUGCCGUAGAGUUUUAUGAUGACAUUAUUGUCACUUUACUUGCAAUAUAGUAUUGUUGCUGCUUAAAAAAAUGCAUUAUUUCUGGGUAUUUCCUUGCCAUUCAUGUAAAUAAUGAAAUAUACCUUUUUAGCGUGAGAUCUACCUUCAAAAUACUUACUACCAUCCA